UUGGCUCAGUUGUGCAGGUCGUCGGUGUGGUCCACACUUACAUCCGCAGACUGGAAAACUUGCCUGUCUCUACCCACUUCAUAUUCCACACCACAGCCAUUGACGACUCCAGUGACUCAGACAUUCUCACAACAUCAUCUCCCGAUGACAUUCUUCAGUGGUUCAGUCUAGAAGAGCUUCGAAAUGACAUUUCAUCCGAUGAUCUGUGUCUCCUGGGACCUGAACCAUUACAUUUGAUUGAAAAUCUUAAAGGCAGCAAUGCUUCCAUAG
rnacentral:lncRNA from 1 species